CUCAGAGAUCCACCUGCCUCUGCCUCCAGAGUGCUGGGAUUAAAGGCCUGCGCCACCACUGCCCGUCUACUACCAUUUUCUAAUAAUGUCAUGAUAGGAUUCCAUCAAUGCAUCAAUGAGUCCUGGUAGUCAAUCAGUUUCCGGAUGCCCCACCCCUGGACUUUGUUGCAGUGGGAAUCAGGCCUUCAACAGGUGAGCCUUUUGGAGGAACACUUUAUAUUAAAACAGUGACAAAGCCAAAGUGACAGGGAGAACUGUAAGAGAGUCUGGGUCACAACACAGCCAUAGCUGUGUCCUUAAAAAUAAGCAAACCACAGGAGAAAACACUGGGAAGAUAAGAGCCAGGCAGAUCCCCGAGCUCAUUGGCCAGUCCACAUAGGCUACUUGUUCUCCGGUCUCACCAUGCACACACACAAACCUGCACGCAUGAUCAUUGGCCUAUGAACACACAUACAUACAAAGAGCAAAUAUCUAAGUAGUAAACAUUUUCAUUAAAUAUAAGUUCAGUCUAGUACUCUAUAAAAAGUAACAAGUGAAAUUUUAAAAAAUAAUUUAUUUAGUUUGUGUGUAUUGGUGUUUUGCCUGCAUGUGUGUCUGUGUGAUGAUGCCAGGUCCCCUGGAGCUGGAGUUGUAAUAUGACAGUUGUGAGUGUCAUGGGAUUGAACUCAGGUCCUCUAGAAGAGCAGCCAGGACUCUUAACUGCUGAGCUAUCUCUCCAGCCCCAUGAGUGAAAUUUUAUAGAAUGAGCAUUCUUAGACUCCCAAAGAAGUUAACAGGUAAUUGGUAUGUGAAAACUUAUUAGGAUCCCAAAAACGUGCCAAUUUAGCUAGUGAUGGUGGCACAUGCCUUUAAUCCCAGCACUAGAGAGACAGAAGCAGGUAUAUCCCUAUCAGUUCUAGGCCAGUCUGUUCUACAUAUUAAGUUCCAGGCCCACCAGGGCUACACAUUGAAACCCUGUCAAUUAAUUAAUUAAUUAAUAUUCAUUAUUAUUAAUUAAUAGCCAGGGAAGAAAUGUAGUUCAAUGGUAGAGCUGUUUUAAAAAGGGGGGGGAUUUAAUUGGGCCAUGGCAGUGCACCUCCAGAUGCAUCCCAGCCCUCAGGAGACAGAGGCAGGCAAUCUCUAAGUUCGAGACCAGCCUGGUCUACAGAGUGAGUUCCAGAACAGCCAGGGCUUCACAGAGAAACCCCGUCUCCAAAAACAAAAAGUGUGUGUGUAUGUGCCUACCUGUCUGUCUGUAUCUGCCUGUCUGCAGGGGCCAGAAAUGAGUCUGUCUGGAGCUGGAGUUACAAGUGCUUGUGAGCUGCCCAGCGGCAUAGAUUCUGGGAAUUGAACUCAUGUCCUCUGGAAGAGCAGUAUAUGUUCUUAACUACCGAGCCAUAAUCUCUCCAGCCCAGGUAGAGCUCUUGUCUAAAUGUGGAACAAGGCCCUAGGUUCAGUCCCCAGUACAGCAAAAUAUUAAAAUGAAAAAUAACGGUUUGGGACUGGAGAGGUGAGUCAUCCACUGAGGACAGUUGAUGCUGUUUUUGUUUGGUUUGUUGUUUGAGACAGGGUCUUUCUGUGUAGUCCUGGCUGUUUUGGAGCCAGGCUGUCUUUGAAUUCACAAAGAUCCCCCUGCCUCUACCUCCUGAGAACUGGGAUUAAAGGUGUGCACCACCAUGCCCAUCACACUCGCUACUCAUGCAGAGGACCUGGAUUCAGUUCCCAGUACCCACAGUGUGGUUCAUAACUCCAGUUCCAUGGGAUUUGACACCCUCUUCUGGCCUCUGUGGGUACCAGGCACACAUGUGGUACACAUACAUAUGUGCAGGCAGAGUACUCAUUACAAAAAAAAAAGCAUUCAUAGUAGCACAAAUUGGACAACUAGUGCUUUCCAGGUCCACUCAGCCAUGCAGGACCAGAGCUACUGCCUAAGCACCAGACUCUGUGCACUGAGUGGCUGGCAUGAUCUCAGCCCCUCUAGCAUGACAAUCUCUAUUGUUGACUCUGCGCUCUUCAACUGGCGCAGUGGUUCUCCACCUUCCUGCUGUGGAAUAUUAGUUGAGGGUGGGUUACAUUCGUUUAUGCCGUGGAACAUUGGCUUAGUGAUGUAAAGUUGUGUUGCAUUCUUUUGGGUUGCAUUUGUUUAGCUCUGUGAAGCUGUGUUACUGCGCCUGUUUAAAACACCUGAUUGGUCUAAUAAAGAGCUGAAGGGCCAAUAGCUAAGCAGGAGAGGGCUAGGCGGGGCUGCCAGGUAGAGAGAAUAAAUAAUAGGAGGAGAAAUCUAGGCGGAGAAGAAGCAGGGUUUAAGAAAAGGAGAGGAAGCCGGGCAGUGGUGGCGCAGGCCUUUAAUCCCAGCACUUGGGAGGCAGAGGCAGGCGGAUCUCUGUGAGUUCGAGACCAGCCUGGUCUACAAGAGCUAGUUCCAGGACAGGCUCCAAAACCACAGAGAAACCCUGUCUCGAAAAACCAAAAAAAAAAAAAAAGGAGAGGAGAGGACCCCAGGGACCAGCCACACAACUAGCCAUGGAGGAAGAAGGGAAGAAAGACCAAAAAAGGCAAAAAGCCCAGCAGCAAAACAUAGGUAAUUUAACCAGGUUAAUUUAAGUUAGAAGCCGGGCGAUGGUGGCGCAUGCCUUUAAUCCCAGCACUCGGGAGGCAGAGGCAGGCGGAUCUCUGUGAGUUCGAGACCAGCCUGGUCUACAGAGCUAGUGCCAGCACAGGCUCCAAAGCCACAGAGAAACCCUGUCUCGAAAAACCAAAAAAAAAAAAAUUUGUUAGAAAAACUGGCUAGAAAUGAACCAAACUGGGGGCUGGAGAGAUGGCUCAGUGGUUAAGAGCAGUGGCUGGCUGCUCUUCCAGAGGUCCUAAGUUCAAUUCCCAGCAACCACAUGGUGGCUCACAACCAUCUGUAACGAGAUCUGGUGCCCUCUUCUGGCCUUCAGGCACACAUGGAGGCAGAAUGUUGUAUACAUAAUAAAUAAAUGAAUCUUUUUAAAAAAAACAGUUUAUAAUCUCUAUAAAAAAGAAAAGAAAAAUAAAUAAGCCAAGGUAAGGCUGAGCAUUCAUAAGUAAGAAUAAAUUUCCGUGUAUUUAUUGAGAGCUGGGUGGCAAACACCCAAGGAGUAAAACAGCCAACUAUACCUUCCUAAUGCUGCAACCCUUUACUACAGUUCCUCAUGUUGUGGUGAUCCCCAACCAUAAAAUUAUUUUUGUUGGUACUUCAUAGCUAUAAUUUUGCUACUGUUAUGAAUCAUAAUGUGAAUAUCUGUGUUUGCUGAUAGUCUUAGGGGACCCCUGUGAAAUGGUUACUUUAUCUCCCCAUAGGUCACAACCCCAGUUUGAGAACGGUUGUAGGAAGCCACUUGUUCAUUUUCCUGCUGCCCACACUCCUGAAAUAAUCACAUAGAAACCAUAUUAUCUGUAAUACUGUUUGCCCAAUAGCUUAAGCAUAUUCCUAGCUUGCUCUUAUGUCCUAAACUAGCCCAUCUCCAUUAAUCUGUGUAUCACUGUGACUGUGGCUUACCGGGUAAAGUUCCGUCCAAUGUCUGUCUCUGGUGGGGCUACAUGGCAUCUCACUGACUCUGCCUACUCUCUCUAUAUCUCUUCCAGCCUGGCUAUAUUCUGUUAAGUCAUUGGCCAAAAGCAGCUUCUUUAUUAACCAAUAAAAGCAUAUACAGAAGGAACUUCCCACACCAGAGAACCACUGCUCUCAGGGACCCAGAUGAAUAAAACGUGUGUACAAAACUGUCAUAAUGAAACCCAUUGUCUUGGAUAAUUACUAUAUGCUUCUAAACAUGGAGUGCCCAUCAAAGAUGAAUGGAUAGACAGCAGAGAUUACUAGUGAUGUAGCUUAGUGAUAGAACAUGCUUGGUGUGUGAGAGGCCAUGAGGUCAUUUCCCAGUAUUUCAAAUGAAUGGAUGAAUGAUUGAUAAGUAAAAAGUUAAAAGUUGCCAUCAACCACCAAAAGGAAUGAGACAAGGGGUCAAAUCUCCCUGGAGCCCACAAACUCUGGUCUCCGGAGCAAUGAAAAAAAAUGUGAUCACUGACAUAAGCUUUGUUGUUCCCGGAAUCCAAUACUGUGCUCCUCAGAUUCUGAGCUGGUUUGUUUGUUACGGAGCUGCAGGUGAAGCCCCAGCUUCCCACAUGUUAUGCAAGUAUCCCCUGAGCUGUUCCUCUUGGCCCCAAGUUCUUUAAGCCUUGAGUUAUGUUGCAAGCGAGACUUCAGAUGAAGAGAGAACACUUAUAUUUUCAAACAAAAUCUGGAGGAAAUAUUUCCUAUCUAGAACUCACCAGACUGAGAAGUUCAUUUUUUUGUUGUUGUUGGUGGUGGUGGUUUAUAGUCAUCAGCAUGCAAAACUUUUUUUUGUUGUUUUAUUCUUUGGCAUUUUCAGAUAGGGUUUCACGAACCCCAAGCUGGUCUCAAACUCAGUGUAGCUAAGGAUGAACUUGAGCUUGAUCCUCUUUGGUGUAUUACAGGCUUUCACCACCAGACCUGGUUUUACGCACCAACUAAGUCACACCCCAAGCCCUGCACGAGGGUAUUAAGGAACAGCCUCUGGGCAUAAAUAACAUCUGGGGCACCACCUGUGAAAUGCUUUUGGUGUCAAAGUUAAGUCCCCAGUGUAGGUGUCAAGACUUUGCAUUUGGUGAGCUCAAAGGUUGGAGCACUAUUCUCACUGUUUUGUUUUGAGACAGGCUUCCUCUGCAAUCCAGGUUGAUCUUGGACUUGUGACAGUCUCCUGUCUCAGUCUUCUAAGUGCUGAAGUUACAAACGUGAGCUACCGUGCCAGCUCUUCCAACAAUACUUUGUCCCAGAAGUUACCUUGAAGAAAUUCUUGGGUGUGAACCUUGUCUAAUGAAUCCACUUGUUCUCUAAAUGGAUCUGCGGGGUGUGUAGAGGAGUCCAGCUAACUUGGAUUAAAUGAGCUAGACCUUUCAAAAAAAGAGAGAGAGAGAGACCUUGAACUUCACCAUUUCUGUUGGCACAAAGGAAGCCAAGAAUUUGGGUGGUUAAGGGGCAGAGCUAAGAAUCAGAAACAGGCCUGGUGGUGGUGGUGGUGGUGGUGGCUGCGGCAGCUAUGGCGCAUGCCUUUAAUCCCUUAAUCCCAGCACUUGGAAGGCAGAGGCAGGUGGAUCUCUGUGAAUUUGAGACCAGCCUGAUCUACAGAGCGAGUUCUAGGACAGUCAAGGAAAAAAGGAUUUGAGACAGCCUAGUCUACAGAGCUAGUUCCACGGUAGCCAGUGCUACACGGAGAAACCCUGUCUCGAGGAAAAAUAAAAAGAGGAGGGUGAGUAGGAGGAGACAAAAGGAAGAAGAGAAGAAGCUGAGAACCAGCUCCUGGAGAAGGCUCUAGAGCAAGGCCCCUACUUCAGGACAGCAGGGCAUCGACUGCUCCACCUGCUCCUGCUUCAAAAACAAAUUUUAUUUUACAGUGGUGGGGUUCAAACCAAGGACCUUGUACAUGCUGAGCAGAUAAAUGCUAUACCACUGAACUACAUUGCUGGUCCCAAAAUGUUACCUAGUCCCCUCUCCGUUUUCUGUGAGCCAGGGUAUCACUAUGUAAAUCCGGCUGAUUUCAAACUCCGAAGAGGUUCCCCAGCUUCUGCCUCCCUAGGAUCAAAGGCCUGCACCACCACACCUGGCUCAUUUCAUUUAUUAAAUCCAGCCUCCUAAAUGCAGGGAUUAGAGUGUCUACCUCCAGGCCAGGUUCAAUAUGUUCUAUGCCUAUGAUUAAUUUGUCACAACUAAGAAACCCAACACUGAUUGGCACAUUAACUGAACCCAGGCUUUAUUUGGAGUUGCCGAUUUCCUCACCAGCGUCGCUGUUCUGUUCCCGUUGCCGGCUCAGUCAAGGUGAUAUACUACGUUUAGGCUUCUCCUUUGUCCCUUGUGGUCUGUGACGGCUUCUUAGCCUUCCCUUGCUCUCUCUGGCUUCAUUUUGAAGGAAUGAUGUCCCAUUUUAUAGAAUGGAGUAUUUCGUAGAAUACUCCAGCUGGGCUCAUCAUGUAGUCCAGGCUUCAGACUCCAGUUUCCCAAGCACUGAGAUGAUAUAAUCGCAAGCAUGUGCCACCAUACCUGCCUUCCGUUGGCCUGCUGCUCUCUGUAGAUGAGGGUGAGAGGGUGACUCAGGCUUUCUUACUGAAGUCUGGUACAUGGCACUAAAGUGACUGAUGUCCACUUGGGUCACCUGAUUUGAAGUGGUAUCUACCAAGGUGGUCCACUGUCCGUUUACCCGUUCCCUCUUCCGUCCUCUGCUUUGGAAGCUGUCUACAGCCCACAUUUCAACCCCAAGGGAGGACUGUGCCCUUCGAAGACCCUUGUGUGCAUCUACACCCGGCAGAGAUGCUUAGACUCUGGCCUUCCACCUGUGUGGAGCACUCAAUGAAAUGAGAAGCCAGGGGGCCUGUAAGGGUCUGUAUCUUGCAGGGGGAGAUCUAGACGGUGUACUCUGGUGGACUGUUUAUGCUCACGGCCCUGCUCUUCCUGCCUGCUAAGGUCAUCUAACCCCUCCACACAGCGACGGCUCUCCUGUCUUGGAUUCCACAGACCAGCUUGGAUUCCACAGAGCAAAUCUGGGCCACAGAGUUCUGCUUUUCUAGAUUAUGAAGUCACACAUUCACAAUGCAAGUGGGCAGUCCCUGGCUAUACAUUCCUGUCUGGUUAUUCUCUCAUUCCAUGGAAGGUUAUUUCAUAUCCCUUUUAAAUUUUUUCUUUUAUGCGCACUGGUGUUUUGCCUGCAUGCAUGUCUGUGUGAGGGUGUCAGAUCUUGGAGUUACAUUGUGGGUGCUGGGAAUUGAUCCCGAUCAUGCCUUUUUUUUUUUUUAAACCUAUCACUCUAUACCACUAAAAUGGCAAUCAAGCUGAGGGUCCUGUGCAAGCCUGUGCUCCCAGCACCUGAGAGGAAGAGGAAGGACCCUAGUUUGAGACCAAUCUAGUUCAAGGUCAGCCUGCAGUACAGGCUGAGUAUAGUCCAUUGUGACUGUAUGCUUGACCAGCUGUUUUCCAGGGCAGAAACAGAGGAGAGGCAAAAGACCCUGCUCCCAAGCACACUUGUAGCCCUCGGUCUUCUUCCUUGUCUGCUCAUCCAAGAACAUGUUCCUACAAGUAUUCAAUCACCUGCUUCAUAAUAAAUCUUUUGGAACAGUAAUAUUUUUACACUAGUAUUCCUUUAAAAAUGUUUGUGAAUGUAUGUAUGUGUGGUAUGUAUGUGUCUGUGUGUCUGUAUGUCUGUGGUGUGUCCACUUGUGAGUACAGAUGUCCACAGAGACAAGAGGGUGCUAGAUUUCCUGGAGCCAGAGUUGCGGGCAGUUGUGAGACACUUCAUUUGGGUCCUCUAUACGAGCAGUAUGUUCUUUUAACCACCGAGCCUCAUCUCCAACCCCACAAUGGGUCUUAACUGUACCCGAAUGAGAUCUACAUCUUGUGGGCCACUAUCUCUUUCUAUACUUGAGUUUCACUGUUUCCCUCCCUCUCCUCGCUUGUGCAGAGCUUAUGAGGCCCUUGUCUGAAGUCCUCAUCUUAGGUAGCAUAGGUUCCCCCUCCUCUCGUUCCUGGUUCCCUGUCUCUGAAGGCUCUUCCUCUGCCUCUGUGUCAGGUACCAGGUUGGCAUCCCUGUACGUGUUUUCAUCUACUACCCCUACCGAGCUGCCAGAUACAUCUUACCCAGGCCCUCGGCUUUGUAAACACAUGAGAAAAAUGUGGGCCGGGCCGUGGUGGCGCACGCCUUUAAUCCCAGCACUCGGGAGGCAGAGGCAGGCGGAUCUCUGUGAGUUCGAGACCAGCCUGGUCUACAGAGCUAGUUCCAGGAUAGGCUCCAAAGCUACAAAGAAA